UAAUUUGAAUGGCUUUCUAGCCCUGGCAAGAAAGAAGAGGAAGACUGACUGGAUGUCGGAACACAUCAACGCAGAUACUAACUUGUCAAAUGUUAGAUCAGAUGGGCAUAAACUGGUUAAGUGACUCAUCCAAGAUCAUAUAGUCAGAAGCAAAGUCAGGAACAGAGACCAAGGAUGGUCAUCAUCCAAGGAGAAAGGCGCUGCUGCUGGUACAUCACUCCACAAGCAGACAUGAUUCUGAUGUCAUCUUGUGACUCGACCAUCACUUAAACAGACUUUAAAAGACAAGGGUGGAGAUUGCUCUAGGAUUGUGCAUGGAAUACACAUUGGCUGAUACAGGCACAUCCACUGCCCCCAAGGGGUUAUAGCCUAAAUAAGACUGGACAAACACAAACUCUAGAGAAAGCACAGGACAACCAUCCGGGAGAAGGAGGAUUUAUGAUAAGAACAAG